AAGCUGAUAAAGCCACCGGAAGGGAAGCGGCACUUCUCCAUGGCGUCUGCUUGAGUUCUCCUUUCUAGGGUCCUGCUUGAGUUCCUGCCCUGGCUUCCCUUGGUGAUGGACUGUGACAUAGAAAUUUUUUAGCUACUGUUCUAUGGCAGAAACAACUUGGGUCAGUGACUUUCCCAGGCUGCUAUGAGUUCAAUAGAAACCAAACAUUAACAGCAGCUCUUAGCUAAAAGAACAGAGAGACUGCCUACCACAGGGGCCCAUGGAAGAGCUGGAGGCAGCUUCCGCAGAUCCCUGUGGAGGCCAGAUGGGGGUGUCUGUCCCGCUGGAGUUUCAGGUGAUUGGGCGCUGGGAACAGAACAGAGCGUUGAAUCUUUUAACCUCAGAGACAUCUCUCCAGCCCCUCUAAAAUCCCAUCUUAAAUGUGACGAGUAUCCAAUAAAAAUAAUUUUCUCAGAA